rnacentral:misc_RNA from 1 species
UUUUAGAUCAUAAAUGCAUAAAAGAUCUUACAAUUCACCAGAGUUAUAUUGUACCAAUAUUUUAAUAGUUAUUAAAAAUAUUUUAAAUUAAUAAACUGCUAUUGCGUUUAGAUGUUACAUGAUGAGCAUUGGUUUUAAUAAUCUUUUUAGAUAAUAAAAACUCCCAUUUGAGAAAAGUUCAAUUCAUGUUACAAUUUGUCAAUUAGCAGCAAUGCAAGGUGUUACUAUUUGUAAAUAAAUAAAUGAAAUUACUCCUGAGUAUUGUUGAGUGGUGGAAAUUGUUUCAUAAUUGAUGACCCUGUAUCAAGAAUUUCAUCCAUUCACCAGAAGUGUACAACUUACAUGGUGGAAUUCAUCAAAUUUGGCAUUGGUUGAGCUUGUGGAAGUUGCAUUUCAUAUAUUUAAAUUGUAUCUUGGAUGUGAGUUUUACAUAAUUUUUCCUUGCAUCUAUGGUGAUACAUCUAUGCUGACAUUUUUCUUGCGAGUAGAGAGUUGAUCGCUUUAUUGUCAGGGAUUUAUGGCAUGGUACAUUUCAUGACAUCUGCUUUAGUAAAUGACAUUUCAUUGCAUUGUGUUUCUUCUUUUAUGAGCAUACUCAUAGUUUGUGGAUAAAGAUUCUAUCCAAUGUUUUGUGCCUUUCUUUUCCAUAUUUGUGCCUUAUACAGUUUUGUUGUCCCAUAUUUCUGAUGAUAAACAUUGGCUUGAUGAAAUUGGUUGCUUCUAUGUUGUGUGGAUGGCAUUUUUCGCUUGUUAUGUAAAUGGGCAAAACAUGUGAAAACAUCCUUUUAUCAUUUGUACAAGGAUUGCUGUUAGUGUUGUAAUCUGGGUGAAACAGAGGGCUACAAAAUAACAUCCAGUUUAAAAAUUAUUUGCAAUUUCAAUAAAUUUUAUGGAAAAAAGACAAAAGAAGUUAGAGAGAGAAAGAGGGGACACAGGGAAAAGUGCCCCUAGUAUCUUCUGUGGAUGUUUCAGUUGGUCUUGUACGUGCAAAAUUCAAAUAUAGAAUUUGUAUUGCAUCAUUUUAACUAUGUUCUUUUUUUUUUUUAUUGUUUUUCUUUAUAAACAGAGAAUAUCUGCAAAGGAUGCA